CCGGUUGGUGUCCCAGGCAUGUCGUGGGACUGCCUUUGUGUGUGGGUGGUGGUGGGACCCCCUGCUGGUUUUCCUGGUGGCUUGGCUGUG
rnacentral:pre_miRNA from 1 species